GCUGCAUGGCUGGUCGUCAGCUCGUGUCGUGAGAUGUUGGGUUAAGUCCCGCAACGAGCGCAACCCUUGUCUCUAGUUACUAGCAGUUCGGCUGAGCACUCCUAGAGAGACUGCCGGUGAUAAACCGGAGGAAGGUGGGGAUGACGUCAAGUCAUCAUGGCCCUUAUGGGCAGGGCUACACACGUGCUACAAUGGACGGUACAGAGGGUUGCCAACCCGCGAGGGGGAGCCAAUCCCACAAAGCCGUUCGUAGCGUUGCAGUCUGCAACUCGACUGCAUGAAGUCGGAAUCGUCUAGUAAUCGCAGAUCAGCAUGCUGCGGUGAUA
rnacentral:rRNA from 1 species